AAUAUUUUAAAUAUAUUUUAUUUUUCUAUUAAGUUAGGCAAAGGUUUUUAAAUAUUGGUAUAUGUUUUGUUCGCUUUGGUAGGAAAUUAAACAGAUAAGAUAAAAUUGAGAUAAAAUAGUGAUGGAAUUCCAUCACUAAUGGACAGAAUAGUGAUGGAAUUUUGACGGAGGGGAACUAAAUGCAACAACUUAGAAUAAAAUACAGAAUUUUGAAAGUUAGGAAAGAAAAGUGAAGAAGCAGAUAUUUAUAAGAGAUUUCUGUAAUUUAGCCUAUUUUUUAGGGUUAAAUGCAUACAGGUCCCUACAAAUAUAGUGAAUUAUAGAUAUUUUCCUGCAAAUAUAGUGAAUUAUAGAUAUUUUUCUACAAAAUUCAACUUUUAUAUAUUGUUUUUAUAAAAGUUUUAAUAUUUUCAAAUAUAUCCCUCUGCUUUAUUACUGCUAGAGAACUAUUUAUAAUUUAACAGCAAAUAAGUAAAAUGUCAAUUUUGUCAUCACAAAUAUAUUCCUCCAAAAGUCACAACAGUAUAAUUAAGAGGAGUAAAAUAUAUCAAGUUAUCUUAUAAACUAAUUAGGAUUUAGUAUUUAACUUAUGGUUAACUAAAUUUUUCUAAUGGAUUCUGACGACAGGAAUAUAUUUGAAAAUAUUUAGAUUUUUAUAAAGACAACAUAUGAAAGUUGAACUUUGUAAGAAUAUAUAUAUAAUUUACUAUAUUUGCAAAUGCUUGUAUACAAUUAACCCUAG
rnacentral:lncRNA from 1 species